GGACCCGCACAAGCGGUGGAGCGUGAUCUUUAAUUCGAUGGUAAACGAUAAACCUUACCAAGGUUUGACAUCCAGGGAAGGCUCUCGAAAGAGAACUGUGCCUUCGGGAACCCUGAGACAGGUGAUGCAUGGCCGUCGUCAGCUCGUGUCGUGAGAUGUUUGGUUAAGUCCAUUAACGAGCGCAACCCUUGUCAGCAGUUGUAUUUUUCUGCUGAAACUGCCCCGGUAACGGGGAGGAAGGAGGGGAUGAUGUCAGGUCAGUAUUUCCCUUACACCUUGGGCUAGAAUCGCGCUACAAUGGCCGGUACAAUGCGAAGCGAAGCAGUGAUGUGAAGCAAAUCGCACCAAAGCCGGUCCCAGUUCAGAUAAGAGGCUGAAACUCGCCUCUUUGAAGUCGGAAUCGCUAGUAAUCGCAGAUCAGCAUGUUG
rnacentral:rRNA from 1 species